rnacentral:rRNA from 1 species
AAUGAAUUGACGGGGGCCCGCACAAGCGGUGGAGCAUGUGGUUUAAUUCGAUGCAACGCGAAGAACCUUACCUACUCUUGACAUCCAGAGAAGCCAGCGGAGACGCAGGUGUGCCUUCGGGAGCUCUGAGACAGGUGCUGCAUGGCUGUCGUCAGCUCGUGUUGUGAAAUGUUGGGUUAAGUCCCGCAACGAGCGCAACCCU